GCCCCCGUAGCUCAAUGGACAGAGCACCUGCCUUCUAAGCCGGUUGUUGGGAGUUCGAUCCUCUCCGGGGGCG
rnacentral:tRNA from 1 species